rnacentral:lncRNA from 1 species
CUCGAUUGUUUUUUCAAUGUUACGCUUCACUAAUAAAAACGUAAAUAUUUAUGUAUUACUACACGUUUAAAUGAAAUGCCACAGUAUAUUACGAAUUAAAUUAUAAUAUGGCUUUAAAUGGAUUUGUUGAGUUCUUUCAAAAGGGCAAAGUACGAUAGUUAACCAAUCAAACUCUUAUACAGAAUCACCCUCGACAAUUUCAUGUUCAUUACAAAAUAUAUAUAUUUUGCAGACUUUUAGGCCAAAAAAAAGAUUUGCGGCAGGAACAAUAAGAUAUUCUCUCUAUAAGCAAGCCCAGGCUAGUCUUCAAUCUGGAAUAAAUUUACGUCAGGUAGUGCGGUUACCUGCAGGGGAGAACAUGAACGACUGGCUGGCUGUGCAUGGUAAGUGGCCACAAUUCACAAUCGAAUAAGUUUAAAAUUCAAAUGAUUUUAUUUUUAUUACAAAGUUGUUGACUUCUUCAAUCGAAUCAACCUUAUUUAUGGAACUGUUUCCGAGUUUUGUGACGAAUCAACUUGUCCAACUAUGUCUGGAGGAUCACGCUAUGAGUAUUUGUGGGCAGAUGGAGAUAUGUAAGUUUUUACGUUCCCUUCCCAACUAAUAUCACAAAAUUAUAAUCUGCGUUACGCUUUGUAUAAUUAAUUGUCGUCUUGAACUAAAAAAAUAACUCCGCCACAAAAUGUACUGUGCUGUAUGUUAUUAUGUCUAUGGUCAACAUAGCUAAAGUUGCUAUCAAUCAAAAGGAAACCUUAUAAAAGUUUUAGGAUUUAGGUUUUAGGUUGGUUUGGACAAAGGCAUUAAGUUUGCUUAAGAGAUAGGGAGACGGGUUCUCUCCCCAGAUACCGCCUUAACCUAGGGUAAUGCAUUUUUCUAUGGCACGUGUUUUAUUGAAAAUUAUAGCCAUCGUGCAAAGUAAAGCUCGAAGCAGAAAAUAAGAUAUAAGCCCCAAUCCAUCAAAAAACUUGGUUUGGUUUGACACCAAAUUAUUUAAAUUGUAUUUAAAAAGUGAUAUUAGUUUGCUGGUUAAUUUUUUUUCUUUACUAACGAUUGCAGCUAUAAAAAACCAAUUGCUCUUCCGGCUAAAAAGUAUAUUGAACACUUAAUGGACUGGAUUGAGAGCCAAAUUAACAAUGAAGCCUUAUUUCCCGUAUCCACUGGUAUGUAUCCAAAUCAAGUACCGGGCCUUGCCGCGUCUUACAACGUUCCCGCUGGUUUUGUGCUCCAAUAAGUACAUAGUUUUGUAUAUUUAUCCAUUUAUCUUGAACAAAAUACUCACUUAUACCUUUGCAGAUGUUCCAUUUCCAAAAACAUUUGUUGCACUUUGUCGCAAAAUUUUAACGCGAUUAUUCCGUGUUUUUGUACACGUCUACAUUCACCAUUUUGAUAGACUCGUGAGCAUCGGCGCUGUAAGUAAAUUAAAUUGUUUAUAACCCCUCGAUUUCCUUGACCCUGUAAUAACUGGAAGUCAUAGAUAUAUAUACAUAUGUACGUAUACUCAUAUGAUAAUAAAUAAAUAUCAGGUAUAGAAUAAUCAAAUCAGUCCUCAGAAAAUGAAUUAAAUGAGGAUUCACGUUUUGCUCGACCCCGUUGUUAUCGUUCGUUUUCUUUCGAAAUGACCAGACUUGUUUCCCCGAAACAAAAUCAAAAGCCAAGAAACAAAUUGUCGGUCUAGUAAUCUCUUUCCUCUGGUGUUAAAGUAUUCUCUAAAAUAACCCCCUAAUAUACAACUCAUUUCAAAUGCUUAGUGCAGCGAAAUGACUUCCAUGCGAUGUUAGCUCAAUAACUAACAUGCUUAAACACUUAUUUUUUAUUUACAGGAGGCGCACGUCAACGCUUGUUAUAAACAUUUCUAUUAUUUCGUUAGAGAAUUCGAUAUGAUAUCAAGCAAGGAAUUGGAGCCAUUGCACGAAAUGACGUCCCGGAUUUGCAAAGACAAAGAGUGAAAAAAUAAUAGUAUUUGUGUAAAUUGAUUUUUAAUGUUUCGAAUACGGAAAUAUUUCUUAAGAGAUGCGACAUAAAAUUAUAUUCAUAUAAUUUUUGUAUUUUAAAAAGUUGAAUCAUAUAUUUUAAAAAAUAAAUGAAUCUGAAUGUGGA